CUACAGUGUUAUCUAUAUUGAAAAGUUUUUCUAGAGCAAGUGACAAAGAGCUUGAUGGUUGAUAUCCGAGACCCAAAUUCGAAUUCUAGUUGAUUCACAUUUCUAGCUAAAUUUAUUUCUAAAUGAAAUAAACGAAGCGGGUAGCGCGCUACCUAUCUCUCAAAAAAAAAAAUAUUAGACAAAUAAUAAAAUUAGGAAGGUAAAGUUUUUGUAAUUUUUAAUUUUUUUAAUUUAAAAAAAUUUUAGUGGUGA
rnacentral:lncRNA from 1 species